AUGAACGCUGGCGGCGUGCCUAAUACCUGCAAGUCGAGCGAGCGGACGAGAAGCUUGCUUCUCUGAUGUUAGCGGCGGACGGGUGAGUAACACGUGGAUAACCUACCUAUAAGACUGGGAUAACUUCGGGAAACCGGAGCUAAUACCGGAUAAUAUUUUGAACCGCAUGGUUCAAAAGUGAAAGACGGUCUUGCUGUCACUUAUAGAUGGAUCCGCGCUGCAUUAGCUAGUUGGUAAGGUAACGGCUUACCAAGGCAACGAUGCAUAGCCGACCUGAGAGGGUGAUCGGCCACACUGGAACUGAGACACGGUCCAGACUCCUACGGGAGGCAGCAGUAGGGAAUCUUCCGCAAUGGGCGAAAGCCUGACGGAGCAACGCCGCGUGAGUGAUGAAGGUCUUCGGAUCGUAAAACUCUGUUAUUAGGGAAGAACAUAUGUGUAAGUAACUGUGCACAUCUUGACGGUACCUAAUCAGAAAGCCACGGCUAACUACGUG
rnacentral:rRNA from 1 species